rnacentral:lncRNA from 1 species
UUUUGAGUUGUGGUGACUGUUUCUAAUCAGUUUUGAUUUUUAUCUGAAUCUCAUCUACAAGCCCUACCUCAAAACUUAUUUAAGCAUUUCCAGCUUGCGAUUUUCAGUAAUGAUGAAGCUUUUAAGAGACCGACUAUCUUUCAGAUACUUUUCAGACUCUCACACUAGGGCUAUGCAGUAGAAGAUAUUUUUGGACAAGAAUUACCCUACUCCUCAGAGCAAAGGAGGCAUUCUGAAAGACGGAGUGAAAGUUACAUCGAGUGUGCCUGCCUCUCCUGCCUCUCCUUCCACCUCCUCUAACUCUCCUGCUUCUACCACCCCUGAGACAGCAAGACCAACCUCUCGUCAGCCUAUUCAAUGUGAAGAAAAUAAGGAGGAAGACCUUAUGAGGACCUACGUCCAAUCAAUAAAUAACUUGCGGGAGGUUCUGGAGUCCCAUGGUUAUUAAUCUCUGGAGGCUUCACCAUCCUUUGUGGGUUCCUUUAAUUAUCUCCAUUGCCUCAAAAGCUGUUGGGUUCUCAGGAAGCAGAUGAUGAGAUGGAGCUUGUGGUGCAAGAUAUUUACUCGGGUAAAAGGAAAAGAGAGGAAGAAAGAAGGAGC